rnacentral:rRNA from 1 species
GACGAACGCUGGCGGCGUGCUUAACACAUGCAAGUCGAACGGAAAGGCCCUGCUUGCAGGGUACUCGAGUGGCGAACGGGUGAGUAACACGUGGGUGAUCUGCCCUGCACUUCGGGAUAAGCCUGGGAAACUGGGUCUAAUACCGGAUAGGAGCCAUUUUUAGUGUGAUGGUUGGAAAGUUUUUUCGGUGUAGGAUGAGCUCGCGGCCUAUCAGCUUGUUGGUGGGGUAAUGGCCUACCAAGGCGGCGACGGGUAGCCGGCCUGAGAGGGUGGACGGCCACAUUGGGACUGGGAUACGGCCCAGACUCCUACGGGAGGCAGAAGUGGGGAAGAUUGCAAAAUGGGCGCAAGCCGGAUGCAGCGACGCCGCGUGGGGGAGGACGGCCUUCGGGUUGUAAACUCCUUUCGCUAGGGACGAAGCUUUUUGUGACGGUACCUAGAUAAGAAGCACCGGCUAACUACGUG